rnacentral:misc_RNA from 1 species
CAAUGAAACCGCGCCUACCCGGCCGGAUUCUCACACCAUUGUGUACCAAACUUUUGUUGCCUCGGCGGGCUGGGUGCCCACCAGCGCCCCCCCUCGCGGGAGUCGCCCGCCGCAGGACUUUUCAAACCAGUUCGUUGAUGAACGUCUGAUUUUAUUUUCUAAAAGAAAUA